UGAGUAACCUGCCCUCCACUCUGGGAUAAGGCCGGGAAACUGGGUCUAAUACCGGAUAUGACCUCCUGUCUCAUGGCGGGUGGUGGAAAGUUUUUUCGGUGGGGGAUGGACUCGCGGCCUAUCAGCUUGUUGGUGAGGUAAUGGCUUACCAAGGCGACGACGGGUAGCCGGCCUGAGAGGGCGACCGGCCACACUGGGACUGAGACACGGCCCAGACUCCUACGGGAGGCAG
rnacentral:rRNA from 1 species